rnacentral:rRNA from 1 species
AGCGAACGCUGGCGGCAGGCUUAACACAUGCAAGUCGAACGGGCGUAGCAAUACGUCAGUGGCAGACGGGUGAGUAACACGUGGGAACGUACCUUUUGGUUCGGAACAACUGAGGGAAACUUCAGCUAAUACCGGAUAAGCCCUUACGGGGAAAGAUUUAUCGCCGAAAGAUCGGCCCGCGUCUGAUUAGCUAGUUGGUGGGGUAAGAGCCCACCAAGGCGACGAUCAGUAGCUGGUCUGAGAGGAUGAUCAGCCACAUUGGGACUGAGACACGGCCCAAACUCCUACGGGAGGCAGCAGUGGGGAAUAUUGGACAAUGGGCGAAAGCCUGAUCCAGCCAUGCCGCGUGAGUGAUGAAGGCCCUAGGGUUGUAAAGGCUCUUUUAACGGGGAAGAUAAUGACGGUACCCGUAGAAUAAGCCCCGGCUAACUUCGUGCCAGCAGCCGCGGUAAU